CUAUAAUCAAUAAAACAGUAAUAUAUGCACACGAAACUAUGAAAUGAAAACAUCAGACCUUAUACUGCACUUAAAACCGUAAAAUAGGCCAAACAGCAGCUAACCGACAAACACACCAGACUCGGGCUCCAUUAGCGACCUUAAACAAUUUCACACAUCUAUUGAUUCAUGAAAUACCGUUUUAUUAUUUAUUGAACUUUAAUACCGUGAUGGGAAAUAGGGUGAGGGGUCCUUACUUGUUUUGGGGUCCGAAUACGGCUCUACAGUGCGCCUACAAGCUGUCCCUAAUUUUCCCUGAAUUU
rnacentral:lncRNA from 1 species